ensembl:lncRNA
AUCCCAGCCUUCAAGGAUCUUACAUUCCUACUGGGGAGACAACAUAUAUAUAUAUAUAUAUAUAUAUAUAUAUUAGUGAUAGGAACAGACCUAUAAUUUCAUUGGUAUCGCCUAUACCAAACAGGGGUCCCCAAACUUUUUAAACAGGGGGCCAGUUCACUGUCCCUCAGACCAUUGGAGGGCCAGACUAUAAAAACCUAACCUAACCAGGCAGCAAUAUACACAGUGUGGAAUCCCCUCCCCCAGAUCACUGCUCACCAUGCUGAUGUCUUCCAUUGUGCCGCCACAUAAUCUUUUGCACUGGCGCCUCGUUCUAAGGAUCCACGCAAAGGAUUAUGUCACCGGAAGUAGUACUGUACAGGAGCAACACAGUGCUUUGCGGAGCAGCCACCUACAGUGCUCCUCUCAUGGACCACCAGUGAAAGAGAUGUUCGGAGGUGUCAGAAGUGAGGAGACUCUGGAAAUGAGCUGCUGUGAGACCUCGAUGGGGGCCAUUUGGGCGUUCCGUGAAAACUUGAAGUCCAUGAUGCCUCCCAGGAAUUUGACGACUCUGGAAAUCUGCCUCAUUCAAAUCCAAGUCAUUCUGGAGUCAAGACAUCAAACUGUGAGGCCACUGAUUCCUGUCAAAAACAAAGGACCAACAGGUCUUCCUCUGGAUGUGGAUAGCAUUCUUUCUCAUAUGUCCCUCCGAAUAGUUCUGGAUAACUGCAUUGCUACAGUAGAGAAGUCCAUUACAUUCAAUUUUACCACAGUAUAUCAAUCUCUGUGUACAAUGUUCUCUUGGUUCUGCUCCUUUCACUAUACAUCAAUUCCUGAAGGUUGUUCCAGUUCACAUGGGAUUCCUCCACUUUAUUAUUCCUUUAAGCACAAUAGUAUUCCAUCACCAACAGAUAAGAUACCAUAAUUUGUUCAGCCAUUCCCCAAUUGAAGGGCAUCCCUUCAUUUUCCAAUUUUUUUUGCCACCACAAAGAGUGCGGCUAUGAAUAUUCUUCUACAUCUUUUUCCUUAUUAUUUCUUUGGAGUACAAACCCAGCAGUGCUCUGCCUGGAUCAAAGGGCAGCUAGUCUUUUAGUGCCCUUUGGGCAUAGUUCCAAAUUGCCUUCCAGAAUGGUUGUAUCAAUUCACAACUCCACCAGCAAGGCAUUAAUGUCCCAAUUUUGCCACAUCCCCUCCAACAUUUGUUACUUUCCUUUGCUGUCAUGUUAGCCAAUCUGCUAGGUGUGAGGUGAUACCUCAGAGUUGUUUUGAUUUGCAUUUCUCUGAUUAUAAGAGAUUUAGAACAUUUUUUCAUGUGCUUAUUAAUAGUUUUGAUUUCUUUAACUGAAAAUUGCAUAUUCAUGUACCAUGCCCAUUUAUCAAUUGGGGAAUGGCUUGAUUUUUUGUACAAUUGAUUUAGCUCCUUAUUUGAGUGAUUAGACCUUUGUCAGAGGUUUUUGUUAUAAAGAUUAUUUCCCAAUUUGUUGCUUCCCUUCUAAUUUUGAUUGCAUUGGUUUUAUUUGUACAAAACCUUUUUAAUUUAAUGUAAUUAAAAUUAUUUAUUUUGCAUUUUGUAAUUUUUUUCCAACUCUUGCUUGGUCUUAAAAUCUUUCCUUUCCCAAAGAUCUGACAAGUAUACUAUUCUGUAUUCACCUAAUUUACUUAUAGUUUCUGAAGGGUGAGACUUUUAUUCAAGGUGUCUUCCUAAACAAAGUUCUAGUUGGCCAACUGACUCCAAAUUGAAGAUGGUUGAUUAAGGAUAGUUGAUUUGGAAAUGAUUGUGUCUGCUUAGUGUAUACCUGAACAUCAAUAUAUUUAAGCUGGACCUAUAAAGGUACAGUAAGCAUAAAUCCAAAGAGACACAGAACUGAGAUGGAUUGAAAGAAGCCAGGCCAAUAUAUAUAUAUAUAGACUCUGGUUUCCUGGAAUAAAGUUUGAAGGUAGUGGUCCCUUCA